rnacentral:lncRNA from 1 species
CUUGUGUUUUACCUGGGCACACCUGGGAGCCUCCUGCUCUUUGGGUCCCUCAUUUUUGGUCAGUCGGGUGAGGCACUUGCCUGGGCUCCUUACUUGGGUCCAGGCUCUGGGCCCUCUCUACAUCCACCUUGAUCCUGCACCAUGCCCUCCCAUUGACCUCUUCCAGGGCCCCGUCCCUUGCCAAGCCCCCUUUGCUUGUUCAAUGGCCCUGGAUUCUCAUCUGGGCCAGGGCACCUUAUGGGAACAGAGCCCUGCCCCUCACCUGGGCUCCUUGUUCUCCUUUGGUGCUUGGUCCUAAACAUGGAAAUUGGACACCUGGCAGUGACCCUGGGCCUCCAGCCUGCCUGUCGCCUCUCAGAUCCCCUGCCUUCCCUCCCCGGCCCUGUAUACUGUCCUCAGUCCCCUGCCCCAGCCUUGGUCCUUGGCUCUCAAUUCCCUGUCCUGGAUCCUCCCUGGAGCCUCUGGUCCCUCUUCUUGCUCCCAGCUUCUCUGGGCUUUGACUUUGCACCCCUUGCUUGGGCUGAUUUUCUGCUUCCCUUCCUUGCAGAACCCUAGUGCUGCCUGCCUGCCCAUUCCUGUCUUUCCCUGCUGUUCCCUGCCAUGAGACCACAUCUAGGUCCCUAGCCUGGUCUCCUUGCUGGGGUCCUGGCCCCCAACCCAACAACACACAUGGUCUGGCCUAUUCUGCUGUGCCCUUCUUUGGACCUCGCUCAUGUUGUCCCUAUUUCUGCCCUGCCCCUUUUCCUGAUCCCUUUACUAGGAUGCACACCAGGGCCUGGGACUUGACCUGGCCCUUUGGCUCUUUGAGCUCCCUUUGGGAAAAUGUAGCCCUGCCCCUUGCCUGGGCCCUUUGGCCUCCAUCAGCUCAGGCCCUACUCCCCAACCCUGACACCAAGCAGUGGACCUGGUCUUUGAGCCCUCCUCUCCCUGCGCCACCAGCACCCAUUUCUAUUCUCCCUCCACUCCCCAGCCCUCUCCAUUUUCAUGAGACACCUGCCUAGGUCCUGCCACUUGGCUCUCCAUUCCUUGGCCUUGUAUCUCGCUUGAACCCCUGACCGCCCUUCUCAAGGAUCCUGUCCCUGUCCCAUUUUUUCAGGCCCAUUUUUCCAGCCCCCUCCUUGGCCUUCCUCUGUUCCCCUUGUACUGUGGUAUCCUGGCACUGCCCGGACCCUCUCCUCUCCCUGUUUCACCCUAGUCUGGGAUACUCGAAGGGGUCCUGGCUCCCCACUGCCCCCACCCCCAAUUCCAGAUGCAAGGUAAACCCUUACAGUGCCCUGCUUUGGCCCUCCUUUGGUCUUGGUCUUUCUAUGAGUUUACUCACCUGGGGCAGAGGAGUGGAAUUGAUUGGCCUCUGGGCCCAGAAGACUCCCUAUGGGAAACCCAGCCCUGCCCCUUGCCUGAGUCCCCUUCACCUUCCAAACCUUGAAACCUGGCAGCGGACUUGGGCCUUCUGACCUUGUCCUGCAUGAUCAUCUCCCGUCCCUCCCCUACCAUCUAGCCUUACAUGAUGCCCCUACCCCAACCCAGCCCUCCCUAACCCUUAUGUUUUGCAUUCUAGUUUCCAGACCUGGCUGUUUGCCUAAGCCCCAGACCACAUUCCUCAUGUUGCAUGGCAUCCCAAGGUGGCACUUCGCCUUAGGGAUUACCUGGGAUCCCUUGCUUGGGCCCCUUAGUACACUCCACCGGGUGCACUUUGCUCUGCCCUCUGUUUCCACAUCCUAGUGCCAACCCUUCCUCUUCUUCCACUCUCAUUUUCCUCUAGAGUGCUGGCCUCCUGUUUCUUGGGUUUCUAAUGCUCUGUUGGUGGGAUUGGUCUCUUGCCUGUUAUCCUGGCUUGGGUCCUGGCUCUUGCCUCUCUCCGCACCCACCACAACCCUCUGCCCUGCCAUCCCGUCAUCCUCCUCAUAGCCCCAAUCCCUUGCCAGGCCCUUGUCUGGGCAAGGCAACUCAUGAGAAAGAGAGCCCUGUUCCUAGCCUGCACCCUUGGUCCUACUCUUGGAAACCUGAGUCCUGGAAAUGGCCCUGGACCUGGAGCCUGCCUCCCCACUGCCAUAUCCCCUGCCUUCCCCCCUCUGCCAUGUCCACUGUCCUGAUCCCUGGCCACAGCCCUGGCCCUUGUCUCUCCA